UCAAAGUAUAAACAUCGUAAAAGAUGUACACACAUCCACGUGGCACAAAGGAGCACAGCCUUGGGGUGCGAUGGUAGAAUCCUGUCCCACGACAUUGGGGAUGAGCUUGUCCCCAGGCGUGGGACUGUCAUGGGCAUGCUCUGUAUAUUCCUUAUCUUCUCAGUACCUGUUUGCUGAGGAAAAACCAUACAGGGCACAAUU
rnacentral:snoRNA from 1 species